rnacentral:rRNA from 1 species
GACGAACGCUGGCGGCGUGCUUAACACAUGCAAGUCGAACGGUGAAGCGCCUUCCUUUUUGGUGGGUGUGGAUGAGUGGCGAACGGGUGAGUAACACGUGAGUAACCUGCCCCCUUCUUCUGGAUAACCGCAUGAAAGUGUGGCUAAUACGGGAUAUUCUGGGUCUGUCGCAUGAUGGGUCUGGGAAAGAUAUUGUUUCGGUGGGGGAUGGGCUCGCGGCCUAUCAGCUUGUUGGUGGGGUGAUGGCCUACCAAGGCGGUGACGGGUAGCCGGCCUGAGAGGGUGGACGGUCACACUGGGACUGGGACACGGCCCAGACUCCUACGGGAGGCAGCAGUGGAGAAUAUUGCACAAUGGGCGCAAGCCUGAUGCAGCGACGCCGCGUGAGAGAUGGAGGCCUUCGGGUUGUGAACCUCUUUCGCCAGUGAAGCAGGCCUGCCUCGUUUGUGGGUGGGUUGACGGUAGCUGGAUAAGAAGCGCCGGCUAACUACGUG